GCAAGUCGAACGGCAGCGCGGGGAGCUUGCUCCCUGGCGGCGAGUGGCGAACGGGUGAGUAAUGCUUGGGAAUCUGCCCUGUAGUGGGGGACAACCCGGGGAAACUCGGGCUAAUACCGCAUACGUCCUACGGGAGAAAGCGGGGGAUCUUCGGACCUCGCGCUAUAGGAUGAGCCCAAGUCGGAUUAGCUAGUUGGUGGGGUAAGAGCUCACCAAGGCGACGAUCUUUAGCUGUUCUGAGAGGAUGAUC
rnacentral:rRNA from 1 species